GAUCUAAUACCUCGGUAUCGAUACUAAAUCGAUACCAUAGGUGACAAAUAACCAGCCUCAAAAUAUAAGUGAAUUGAAAACAAUUUUAUUAAAUGCACUGCUUGGAACUCUGCAUGAAAAAUUGUGCAAACAAAAUGUAAAAAAAAUAAAAAAAAGUAGAUUGAGCAGAGG